rnacentral:rRNA from 1 species
ACUCCUACGGGAGGCAGCAGUGGGGAAUAUUGGACAAUGGGCGAAAGCCUGAUGGUGCGACGCCGCGUGAGGGAUGAAGGCCUUCGGGUUGUAAAACCUCUGUCACCGGGGAAGAAACGCUUCAAGUUAACAGCUUGAAGCCUGACUUAACCCGGAGAGGAAGCAGUGGCUAACUCUGUGCCAGCAGCCGCGGUAAU